AUUGAACGCUGGCGGCAGGCCUAACACAUGCAAGUCGAACGGUAGCACAGAGAGCUUGCUCUCGGGUGACGAGUGGCGGACGGGUGAGUAACGUCUGGGAAACUGCCCGAUGGAGGGGGAUAACUACUGGAAACGGUAGCUAAUACCGCAUAACGUCGCAAGACCAAAGUGGGGGACCUUCGGGCCUCACACCAUAGGAUGUGCCCAGAUGGGAUUAGCUCGUAGGUGGGGUAAUGGCUCACCUAGGCGACGAUCCCUAGCUGGUCUGAGUGGAUGACCGACCACACUGGGACUGAGACACGGUCCAGACUACGACGGGAGGCAGCAGUGGGGAAUAUUGCACAGUGGGCGCAAGUCUGAUGCAGCGAUGCCGCGUGUAUGAAGAAGGUCUUCGGGUUGUAAAGUACUUUCAGCGGGGAGGAAGGCGGUGAAGUUAAUAGCUUCACCGACUGACGUUACCCGCAGAAGAAGCACCGGCUAACUCCGUGCCAGCCGCCGCCGUAA
rnacentral:rRNA from 1 species